UACGUAGGGUGCAAGCGUUAAUCGGAAUUACUGGGCGUAAAGCGUGCGCAGGCGGUGAUGUAAGACAGUUGUGAAAUCCCCGGGCUCAACCUGGGAACUGCAUCUGUGACUGCAUCGCUGGAGUACGGUAGAGGGGGAUGGAAUUCCGCGUGUAGCAGUGAAAUGCGUAGAUAUGCGGAGGAACACCGAUGGCGAAGGCAAUCCCCUGGGCCUGCACUGACGCUCAUGCACGAAAGCGUGGGGAGCAAACAGG
rnacentral:rRNA from 1 species